GCCUAUACAUGCAGUCGAGCGAAUCGAUGGGAGCUUGCUCCCUGAGAUUAGCGGCGGACGGGUGAGUAACACGUGGGCAACCUGCCUAUAAGACUGGGAUAACUUCGGGAAACCGGAGCUAAUACCGGAUACGUUCUUUUCUCGCAUGAGAGAAGAUGGAAAGACGGUUUACGCUGUCACUUAUAGAUGGGCCCGCGGCGCAUUAGCUAGUUGGUGAGGUAAUGGCUCACCAAGGCGACGAUGCGUAGCCGACCUGAGAGGGUGAUCGGCCACACUGGGACUGAGACACGGCCCAGACUCCUACGGGAGGCAGCAGUAGGGAAUCUUCCGCAAUGGACGAAAGUCUGACGGAGCAACGCCGCGUGAACGAAGAAGGCCUUCGGGUCGUAAAGUUCUGUUGUUAGGGAAGAACAAGUACCAGAGUAACUGCUGGUACCUUGACGGUACCUAACCAGAAAGCCACGGCUAACUACGUGCCAGCAGCCGCGGUAAUACGUAGGUGGCAAGCGUUGUCCGGAAUUAUUGGGCGUAAAGCGCGCGCAGGUGGUUCCUUAAGUCUGAUGUGAAAGCCCACGGCUCAACCGUGGAGGGUCAUUGGAAACUGGGGAACUUGAGUGCAGAAGAGGAAAGUGGAAUUCCAAGUGUAGCGGUGAAAUGCGUAGAGAUUUGGAGGAACACCAGUGGCGAAGGCGACUUUCUGGUCUGUAACUGACACUGAGGCGCGAAAGCGUGGGGAGCAACAGGAUUAGAUACCCUGGGUAGUCCACGCCGUAACGAUGAGUGCUAAGUGUUAGAGGGUUCCGCCCUUUAGUGCUGCAGCUAACGCAUUAAUCACUCCGCCUGGGGAGUACGGCCGCAGGUUGAAACUCAAGGAAUUGACGGUGCCCCACAGCGUGGAACAUGUGG
rnacentral:rRNA from 2 species